AGCGAACGCUGGCGGCAGGCUUAACACAUGCAAGUCGAACGAACCCUUCGGGGUUAGUGGCGGACGGGUGAGUAACACGUGGGAACGUGCCUUUAGGUUCGGAAUAACUCAGGGAAACUUGUGCUAAUACCGAAUGUGCCCUUCGGGGGAAAGAUUUAUCGCCUUUAGAGCGGCCCGCGUCUGAUUAGCUAGUUGGUGAGGUAAUGGCUCACCAAGGCUACGAUCAGUAGCUGGUCUGAGAGGAUGACCAGCCACAUUGGGACUGAGACACGGCCCAAACUCCCACGGGAGGCAGCAGUGGGGAAUCUUGCGCAAUGGGCGAAAGCCUGACGCAGCCAUGCCGCGUGGAUGAUGAAGGUCUUAGGAUUGUAAAAUCCUUUCACCGGUGAAGAUAAUGACUGUAGCCGGAGAAGAAGCCCCGGCUAACUUCGUGCCAGCAGCCGCAGUAAGAC
rnacentral:rRNA from 1 species